GAUGGAUGUAGGGACAGAGUUCAGAGAGAUGGAGUAGGUAGAAGUUGAUACAUGGCUCUGCAGUACCGCAAUUUUACUCUCAUAUGUGCCUGAAUAUGUAGCUGUGCAACCUGGAAUUUUUUAUUUAGGAGGACCAGUGUGUCGAGAAAAAUGACGGAUUCUAGCUUUUAUUUCCUCAUUUUUCAUUGCGGUUUUAAAUGUCUUUGUUUGUGCCUACAUUUUUCACAUGUUCCUUGUAAAAAGAAAAAAAGUUCACCAUAGAGCCUUGACAGUUUAAAGAUAGGGGCCGCGCCAUCUGAUUCUGUCAGGUUAAGGAUAGGGGCCGCGCCAUCUGAUUCUGUCAGGUUAAGGCUAGGGGCCGCGCCAUCUGAUUCUGUCAGGUUAAGGCUAGGGGCCGCGCCAUCUGAUUCUGUCAGGUUAAGGCUAGGGGCCGCGCCAUCUGAUUCUGUCAGGUUAAGGCUAGGGGCCGCGCCAUCUGAUUCUGUCAGGUUAAGGCUAGGGGCCGCGCCAUCUGAUUCUGUCAGGUUAAGGCUAGGGGCCGCGCCAUCUGAUUCUGUCAGGUUAAGGCUAGGGGCCGCGCCAUCUGAUUCUGUCAGGUUAAGGCUAGGGGCCGCGCCAUCUGAUUCUGUCAGGUUAAGGCUAGGGGCCGCGCCAUCUGAUUCUGUCAGGUUAAGGCUAGGGGCCGCGCCAUCUGAUUCUGUCAGGUUAAGGCUAGGGGCCGCGCCAUCUGAUUCUGUCAGGUUAAGGCUAGGGGCCGCGCCAUCUGAUUCUGUCAGGUUAAGGCUAGGGGCCGCGCCAUCUGAUUCUGUCAGGUUAAGGAUAGGGGCCGCGCCAUCUGAUUCUGUCAGGUUAAGGCUAGGGGCCGCGCCAUCUGAUUCUGUCAGGUUAAAGAUAGGGGCCGCGCCAUCUGAUUCUGUCAGGUUAAGG